rnacentral:rRNA from 1 species
AGUGAACGCUGGCGGUAGGCCUAACACAUGCAAGUCGAACGGCAGCCCAUUAAUAGCUUGCUCUUACGCUUGUCGUUUUGCGGACGGGUGAGGAAUACAUCGGAAUCUACUUUUUCGUGGGGGAUAACGUAGGGGAACUUACGCUAAUACCGCAUCCGACCUCCGGUUGAAACCCAGGGAUCUUCGGACCUUUCUCGAUUGAAUCGGCCGAUGUCGGAUUAGCCAGUUGGCGGUGUAAAGUCCCACCAAGGCGACGAUCCGUAGCUGAUCUUAGAGGAUGAUCAGCAACAGAGGAGCUAAGACGAGGGCCAGAAUCCGACGGGAGGCAGCAGUGGGGAAUAUUGGACAAGGGGCGCAAGCCUGAUCCAGCCAAACCGCGUGGGUGAAGAAGGCCUUCGGGUUGUAAAGCCCUUUUGUUGGGAAAGAAAAGAAGCAGGUUAAUACCCCGCUGUUCGAACGGUACCCAAAGAAUAAACACCGGCUAACUUCGU